CAGCCGCCACGGUAAUACGAAGGGUGCAAGCGUUAAUCGGAAUUACUGGGCGUAAAGGGAGCGUAGGCGGACUGUUUAGUCAGAGGUGAAAGCCCAGGGCUCAACCUUGGAAUUGCCUUUGAUACUGGCAGUCUUGAGUACGGAAGAGGUAUGUGGAACUCCGAGUGUAGAGGUGAAAUUCGUAGAUAUUCGGAAGAACACCAGUGGCGAAGGCGACAUACUGGUCCGUUACUGACGCUGAGGCUCGAAAGCGUGGGGAGCAAACAGGAUUAGAUACCCGCGUAGUCCCUGUCUCUUAUAC
rnacentral:rRNA from 1 species